rnacentral:miRNA from 1 species
AUUUAUUUAUUUAUUUAUUUAUUUAUUUAGUACUGGUAUGUCCUGUGCACUCGAUGGGACAUACUUAUGCUAAAACAGUUGGUUUCUGGAAUUCGA